rnacentral:rRNA from 1 species
GAUGAACGCUGGCGGCGUGCCUAAUACAUGCAAGUCGAGCGAACAGACGAGGAGCUUGCUCCUCUGACGUUAGCGGCGGACGGGUGAGUAACACGUGGAUAGCCUACCUAUAAGACUGUGAUAACUUCGGGAAACCGGAGCUAAUACCGGAUAAUAUAUUUAACCGCAUGGUUCAAUAGUGAAAGACGGUUUUGCUGUCACUUAUAGAUGGAUCCGCGCCGCAUUAGCUAGUUGGUAAGGUAACGGCUUACCAAGGCAACGAUGCGUAGCCGACCUGAGAGGGUGAUCGGCCACACUGGAACUGAGACACGGUCCAGACUCCUACGGGAGGCAGCAGUAGGGAAUCUUCCGCAAAGGGCGAAAGCCUGACGGAGCAAAGCCGAGUGAGUGAUGAAGGUCUUCGGAUCGUAAAACUCUGUUAUUAGGGAAGAACAAAUGUGUAAGUAACUAUGCACGUCUUGACGGUACCUAAUCAGAAAGCCACGGCUAACUACGUG